UACGUAGGGGGCAAGCGUUAUCCGGAUUUACUGGGUGUAAAGGGAGCGUAGACGGUUAUGCAAGUCUGAAGUGAAAGCCCAAGGCUCAACCAUGGGACUGCUUUGGAAACUGUAAAACUGGAGUGCAGGAGAGGUAAGCGGAAUUCCUAGUGUAGCGGUGAAAUGCGUAGAUAUUAGGAGGAACACCAGUGGCGAAGGCGGCUUACUGGACUGUAACUGACGUUGAGGCUCGAAGGCGUGGGGAGCAA
rnacentral:rRNA from 1 species